rnacentral:rRNA from 1 species
GAUGAACGCUGGCGGCGUGCCUAAUACAUGCAAGUCGAGCGAACAGGCGAGAGUGCUUGCACUCUCUGACGUUAGCGGCGGACGGGUGAGUAACACGUGGGUAACCUACCUAUAAGACUGGGAUAACUUCGGGAAACCGGAGCUAAUACCGGAUAAUAUUUAGCUUCGCAUGAAGCAAUAGUGAAAGACGGUUCUGCUGUCACUUAUAGAUGGACCCGCGGUGUAUUAGCUAGUUGGUGAGGUAACGGCUCACCAAGGUAACGAUACAUAGCCGACCUGAGAGGGUGAUCGGCCACACUGGGACUGAGACACGGCCCAGACUCCUACGGGAGGCAGCAGUAGGGAAUCUUCCGCAAUGGACGAAAGUCUGACGGAGCAAUGCCGCGUGAGUGAAGAAGGUUUUCGGAUCGUAAAACUCUGUUGUAAGGGAAGAACAAGUACGUUAGUAACUGAACGUACCUUGACGGUACCUUACCAGAAAGCCACGGCUAACUACGUG